rnacentral:rRNA from 1 species
UACUGGGUUUUAGGAUUAUUCUUAGGAGCCUGAGGGAAACAUUAAGUUAACCACCUGGGGAGUACGUUCGCAAGUAUGAAACUCAAAGGAAUUGACGGGGGCCCGCACAAGCGGAGGAACAUGUGGUUUAAUUCGAUGAUACGCGAGGAACCUUACCCGGGCUUAAAUGUAGGUUGCAUAAUCUAGAGAUAGAUUUUUCUUCACAGACUACCUACAAGGUGCUGCAUGGUUGUCGUCAGCUCGUGCCGUGAGGUGUCGGGUUAAGUCCCAUAACGAGCGCAACCCCUGCUACCAGUUACCAGCAUGUGAUGAUGGGGACUCUGGUAGGACUGCCGUCGUAAGGCGAGAGGAAGGUGGGGAUGACGUCAAAUCAGCACGGCCCUUACGUCCGGGGCCACACACGUGUUACAAUGGCCGGUACAGAGGGCAGCUACCUAGCGAUAGGAUGCUAAUCUUAUAAAACCGGUCGUAGUUCGGAUAGGAGUCUGCAACUCGACUCCUUGAAGCUGGAUUCGCUAGUAAUCGCAUAUCAGCCAUGAUGCGGUGAAUACGUUCCUGGGCCUUGUACACACCGCCCGUCAAACAAUGGAAGCUGGGGGUACCUAAAGUACGUAACCGCAAGGAUCGUCCUAGGGUAAAACUGGUAACUGGUGUUAAGUCGUAACAAGGUAGCCG